rnacentral:rRNA from 1 species
CAGUCACCGCGGGAAUACGUAGGUGGCAAGCGUUGUCCGGAAUUAUUGGGCGUAAAGCGCGCGCAGGUGGUUUAAUAAGUCUGAUGUGAAAGCCCACGGCUCAACCGUGGAGGGUCAUUGGAAACUGUUAAACUUGAGUGCAGGAGAGAAAAGUGGAAUUCCUAGUGUAGCGGUGAAAUGCGUAGAGAUUAGGAGGAACACCAGUGGCGAAGGCGGCUUUUUGGCCUGUAACUGACACUGAGGCGCGAAAGCGUGGGGAGCAAACAGGAUUAGAUACCCCCGUAGUCCCUGUCUCUUAUAC